CUUAUGAAUAGUACUCUCUUUUGAUUGGAACACUAUUUUUUUUUUCUAGCAGUUGUAGAUUAAUGUCCUGGACACAUGUAUGUAUGUAUGUGGGAUUUUACCAACCCUGUUACCCAAUAAGAAUUGGAUUGGUGGCGAUCGACUCUUAAACCGAUAUCCCACCGCUCAUAGAUGGAUUUCACCCCCGAUUCAUGUUUUCCUUCUCCAUUUGUUCUCUAUUUUCUCUAAUUUCGGUCAAACCUCUCUUUCUCGGCUUUGCGUCUGGUGAUUUGAUAGUACUUCGUCACCAACAUGUGCUUCCGACCGAUUGAACAACCACGCACACCACCACUUUUGCUUGCUUUUGUUAAUUAAACACCAAUGGUCGCCAGGAUUUUCAGGAGUCCGUUGAAGUCGGCGCCACCAUCGAUCAGAAUUGGAAUCGCUUUUCUUCAUCUAACCUGCAGUCCAUAUCCACUUUCAAGAAUCCUAAAUCUUUCCGACAUCUCCCCUGUUCAUCCCUGCAACUGCCACCAGAUAUGCCCAUGUACCAACCACUGACCUUCCAUCUUUUUACUUAAAAUAUUGAAAAUUGAAAACCUAGAACACCGACCACUCACCCCAUCUAUCUUCAAGGACAUCGGCCACUCACGCCCCUUAAAUCGCCACCAUGUAACCUCGUCGACCACUCACCCCCUUAAAUCGCCACCAUAUUGCCCUAUUUCCCUCUUCCAUUAUUCAUCGGUACAGUUGGAGAGUGGGUUUGGAUGUCCUGCUCUAUGCUUUACCUGAUGCAUCUGAGAUCUUCUUUCUCAUACUCGAUGUUGUUGUUCGAUUUAUAUGUGGAGAAGGAAUUUUAUGUUGUCCAGUUAACAACUGAUUCAAACCUUCCUACGCGGUUGACUACAGAGGAACAAAAGUUAGUCCACAUCAGCAAAUAGUUGAAACCAGCGACUUAUAGGAUCAAGUACAACUGAAGAACUAAUCCAUUGACACAAAUAGUUCAUGGGAGAAAAUUGAGUUAUUUGGGCCCGGGGGGAUUGACUGCGCGAACUGCUACUUUUCCAAUACGAGAUAUUCAUCCUAGUCACUAUGGGCGUAUUUUCCCAAUUGACACAUCUGAAGGAAUAAAUGUUGGACUUAUUGGAUCCUUAGCAAUUCAUGCCAGGGUUGGUCGUUGGGGGUCUCUAGAAAGUCCGUUUUAUAAAAUUUCUGAGAGAUCAAAAGGGACGCGGAUGCUUUAUUUAUCACCGGGAAGAGAUUAGGAGUAAUGGAAUUUUCUGAUUGAAGGAAUUCUCGCAGUCAUCCAAGUUAUUGCUUAUAGGGUGGUGCACUCAGAUUCUGGAAUCCUACGGAGUCGAUUGCCUUGCUUAGAAUCAGGCUUACUAGCCUACUACUUCAACCAUUUGGGGUUUUGAGGUUUGGAUCACAUAAUUAGGAAAUCGGUAAAACAGCUUCAACACCAAGAAGAAGUGAGUGAAAAAGUCAUGCAAUUGGUAAAUGCAAAACUGUGCUGUGUAAAUGAGCAAAGUGAAUGCAUAGUAACAAGGUAGGUUUCCAAAGUCAAUUUGUAACAUAGUAUUGUUAUGCAGCAAAUACCAAUGUACUUUCACCUUUCAUUUUUUUUUUCCAUUUUUUGUAUUUACUUUUGAUUUUUUUUUUCGAAAUAACUAACCUCAUUACCAUUAGGCACAUCAUCCAUUCUUAGGAGUUACAUGCACUCAAUAACAAUAUAGUUUGAAUUUACA